GGGGAGGUAGCUCAGCCCGGGAGAGCAAUCGGCUGAAGACCGAUGUGUCGCGGGUUCAAAUCCCGCCCUCCCCA
rnacentral:tRNA from 1 species